rnacentral:rRNA from 1 species
UGAGGAAUAUUGGUCAAUGGACGAGAGUCUGAACCAGCCAAGCAGCGUGAAGGAUGACUGCCCUAUGGGUUGUAAACUUCUUUUAUAUGGGAAUAAAAUGUUCCACGUGUGGGAUUUUGUACGUACCAUAUGAAUAAGGAUCGGCUAACUCCGUGCCAGCAGCCGCGGUAAUACGGAGGAUCCGAGCGUUAUCCGGAUUUAUUGGGUUUAAAGGGAGCGUAGGUGGAUUGUUAAGUCAGUUGUGAAAGUUUGCGGCUCAACCGUAAAAUUGCAGUUGAAACUGGCAGUCUUGAGUACAGUAGAGGUGGGCGGAAUUCGUGGUGUAGCGGUGAAAUGCUUAGAUAUCACGAAGAACUCCGAUUGCGAAGGCAGCUCACUGGACUGCAACUGACACUGAGGCUCGAAAGUGUGGGUAUCAAACAGG